rnacentral:rRNA from 1 species
AUACGUAUGGGGCAAGCGUUAUCCGGAAUUAUUGGGCGUAAAGAGUGCGUAGGUGGUUACCUAAGCGCAAGGUUUAAUCUUGAGGCUCAACCUCAUUCUGCCUUGCGAACUGGGCUACUUGAGUGCAGGAGGGGAAAGCGGAAUUCCCAGUGUAGCGGUGAAAUGCGUAGAUAUUGGGAAGAACACCGGUGGCGAGGGCGGCUUCCUGGACUGUAACUGACACUGAGGCACGAAAGCGUGGGGAGCAAACAGGAUUAGAUACCCUGGUAGUCCACGCCGUAAACGAUGAGCACUAGUUGUUGGGUACGAAUGUAUUCAGUGACGCAGUUAACGCAAUAAGUGCUCCGCCUGGGGAGUACGGUGGCAACACUAAAACUCAAAUGAAUUGACGGGG